AUUGAACGCUGGCGGCAUGCUUUACACAUGCAAGUCGAACGGUAACAGGCCGCAAGGUGCUGACGAGUGGCGAACGGGUGAGUAAUGCAUCGGAACGUGCCCAGUCGUGGGGGAUAACGCAGCGAAAGUUGCGCUAAUACCGCAUACGAUCUAUGGAUGAAAGCGGGGGACCGUAAGGCCUCGCGCGAUUGGAGCGGCCGAUGUCAGAUUAGGUAGUUGGUGGGGUAAAGGCUCACCAAGCCGACGAUCUGUAGCUGGUCUGAGAGGACGACCAGCCACACUGGGACUGAGAAACGGCCCAGACUCCUACGGGAGGCAGCAGUGGGGAAUUUUGGACAAUGGGCGCAAGCCUGAUCCAGCAAUGCCGCGUGCAGGAAGAAGGCCUUCGGGUUGUAAACUGCUUUUGUACGGAACGAAACGGUCCAGGUUAAUACCCGGGGCUAAUGACGGUACCGUAAGAAUAAGCACCGGCUAACUACGUGCCAGCCGCCGCCGUAAAAC
rnacentral:rRNA from 1 species